AUUUUUUGGUUGAACCCGUCUCGACGAAAACUUGCAACGGCAAAAACAGAGAAUCGGCGAUGUUUCUGCCGUUUGGGGCGAUUUUUUUGCACCGGCCAAAACAUACCCGCCCACCCUGCAAUCACGGAAGGCAGCCCGGGCGGCCGUCGGCGCCGCUGCUGACCUGUGCGAGGAGGAGGACGAUGACUCCCGGUUUCUCGUGCGAGGAGUGCGGCAAUCACGGACCCUCUCUUCCCACCCUUCCUUCUCCGCGCCCGCCUCCUCUACCGACGAAAUCCCGCACGGCCACACCUUCCAUCCCCCCAGCGCCCCAUGGUGAUUCCCCCUCGCACGGCCUCUCGGUGGCCGCAACCUUGGCGCGGCGGCGCCUCCGAUCGAGCCUUGCACGGCCUCUCGGCGGCAGCGGACCCUCCCUCGCGUGGCACGCAGGGAGCGCCGGUAGCGGGCCGUCCGCCCUCCCUCCUGUGGCGCGCAGGAAGCGCCGCCGCCGAGACGUGCGCCCCUCACUCGCGUGCCGGGAGCUGCGGCUGCUCCUGCUCCGGAUGGCUGCCGCGAGGUGCCCCUGUUUGCCGUCGCACCGACCCCACACUGGCCCCAGAGCUUCAAACCAUUGCAGCGCUGGUGCUCGGUCUCUUGCCCCUUUACCUGAUGAACCAACGAGGCAGCAAAAACAAGAUGCAAUGGAGCUGAUGUUGAACUACUGAAUGCUAUUACCAAUAAUUCUCCUCAUGUCAUCAGACAGUCAUGACACUCUGCAAUAUAGUAAUUCCUAUAAAAAGAGUAGCAUGGGAAGGGGCUACGACCAUGGUUUAUGAGACUGACUUCGACUUGAUUGCAUGAUGGAGUACAUAUCCCUUGAGAGAAAUCUGGAGGGGACUUGUGGAGAUCCUGGGCCAUUAUUUGGAGACCAAGAUAGUAGCUUGUUGGACCAUCUGGAUUAUCAGGGAGGAGGGAUUCCACAGCAGGAGUCUCCAACACUGGAUGGACUUUUUGUUGAUCGAGCUGAUGCAAUGCCACAUUUAUUAUUUCACAUGUUGUACCUUUUCUAGGAAGAGGAGCAUUAUGCUUUCUGUGAGGUGAAUUUGCUCGCUAUACAUGAGGAUGAAUUACCCUUUGACUGGUCUGCAUGUGGUGUCGGCAAUGUCUUUAUUUCUCCCUGUGUUAGCAUUGCAAGGCAGCACCAGGACAUCAUGGAAUGCGUAGGGGCGGCAUUCUGCUUGCCGUAAUGUUUUUUUCUUCAAUUUUUUGUUUUGAUGCAUUCAAAUCGUUUCUACGCCUGUUAAAUGCGUGGGCGAAAGAGCGUUUGACGCACUACAUUGAGAUAUACCGCGGAAAGAUGAUCUCAAUCAAGUAAUCUUUGAUUAUUUGAACUGAGAGCUUAGAAGUAUUGAUAAGAUUAUACACUUGAAGUGUUAGUGUUGGUA